UACGUAGGUGGCAAGCGUUGUCCGGAUUUACUGGGCGUAAAGAGCGCGCAGGCGGUCGUUCAAGUCGCGUGUGAAAGCCCCCGGCUCAACUGGGGAGGGUCACGCGAUACUGAUCGACUGGAAGGCAGGAGAGGGUAGUGGAAUUCCCGGUGUAGCGGUGAAAUGCGCAGAUAUCAGGAGGAACACCGGUGGCGAAGGCGGGUCUCUGGGCCGAUACUGACGCUGAGGAGCGAAAGCGUGGGGAGCGAACAGG
rnacentral:rRNA from 1 species